rnacentral:rRNA from 1 species
UUUUGGUGGUUGGGUAGGGGAGCGUCGCGUGACUGCUGUGAAGCGCUGGGGUAACCCUAGUGUGGAGUGUGCGCGAGUGAGAAUGCAGGCAUGAGUAGCGAAUGAGGAGUGGAAAACUCCUCCGCCGAAUGACUAAGGGUUCCUGGGCCAGGUUAAUCCUCCCAGGGUGAGUCGGGACCUAAGGCGAGGCCGACAGGCGUAGUCGAUGGAUAACGGGUUGAUAUUCCCGUACCCGUGUGUCCGCGCCCAUGGUGAAUCAGGGAUACUAACCCACCUGAACACGCGC